GAUGGUAUUAUCAAUCAAUAUUGAUAGAAGGCAUUUAAAAAUGAAACAUUUUGGAGUUAUGCUGUGGUGUAGUGGAUUAAGAAUCCGACUGCAGUGGCUGAGGUUGCUGUGCAGGUGUGAGUUCAAUCCCUAGCCUGGCACAGUGGUUUAAAGGAUCUGGUGUUGGCUGCAGCUGUGGAGUAGGUUGCACCUGUGGCUCAGAUUCAGUUCCUGGCCUGGGAAUGCCAUGGAUGCAGCCAUUAAAAAGAAAAAGUUAUUAAAAGUAUGAAGAAAUUUCCACAGAUGGUAGAAAAAUUAUGAGGCAACUAGAGAAAAUACUGUAAUUUCCACCUAAGUAAUUUCUAAUAAACUUCAAAAGAAAACAUAUCAAGGAUACCCACAUUUACUAAUGGUGAAUAACUGAUGGUUAAUACAGAAAAGUCUGGUGUCAUUAAGAAUGUGGGGAGGCUAGAGCUCUGAAUGAGUUAAAGUUUGCAAAAAGUGCUGGGAUUUCCUGUCAUGGUGCAGUGGAAACAAAUCUGACUAGGAACUGUGAGGUUGCGGGUUUGAUCCCUGGCCUUGCACAGUGGGUUGAGGAUCCAGUGUUGCUGUGAGCUGUGGUGUAGGUUGCAGACUUGGCUUGGAUCUGGCAUUGCUGUGGCUCUGCUGGCCUACACCAGAGCCACAGCAACGCAGGAUCCGAGCCUCAUCUGCAACCUACACCACAGCUCAUGGCAAUGCCAGAUCCUUAACCCACUGAGCAGGGCCAGGGAUCGAACCCGCAACCUAAUGGUUCCUAGUCGGAUUCGUUAACCACUGUGCCACGACAGGAACUCUGAACUUUUACAUUUUAAUAUUCUGUUAAUAAAUAUAGCAAGUUUCAUAUAGAUUAGGAAUAUUUUGGGCAGUUCCCGUCAUGGCUCAGCAGAAACAAAUCCUCCUAGUAUCUCUGAGGAUGCAGGUUCAAUCCCUGACCCUGCUCAGUGUAUUAAGGAUUUGGCGAUGCCAUGAACUGUGGUGUAGGUUGUAGAUGUGGCUUGGAUCCCACGUUGCUGUGGCUGUGGCGUAGGCCAGUCUGAUUGGAUCCCUAGGCUGGGAACUUCCAUAUUCUGCAGGUGUGCCCCUCCCACAAAAAAAGAGUAUUUUAAUUUUUCUGGGUUGGGUGAGGGAUGACACUGAUUACUACUAAUACAUAGUAAUCAAAGUUGAACAGAUUAAAUCUCCCUUUAAAAACCCUUUCCAGGUAAAAUGGCUCUAGUACUUUUUGUACUUUUGUUUUCUUUUAAUACUCAUAUAUUAACAUGACUUGCUCUCUCGCUUUUUGGGUUCAAAUGUCAGCUAGUGUGGAGACAUUUUCCCUGAUGAGUUUUCAAGGGACAUCAGUUACAUAGACUUCACUGUGAAUGAUGCUUACUGGUGUGACUCUCAUUAUACCAUCUAAAAUACCACCUUUUCUUUUCGCUUUCCCGUGUUUUAUUUUUCUUCGCAAUAAUUAUCAUACCUGUCUCUUGUUAAAAUAUAAGAUUCAACGAGGUUGAAAUUAUGUUUUGUUCACUGAUUUAAUUCUUAGCUUGAAAAAGGCCUAGUUCAUGGUAGAUUCUCAGUGAUUAUUUGUUGAAUUAAUGAGUUUAUACUGUGAAGUUCUUGGAACAGUGUUGGGCACUAGGACAGUGCUCUUUGAAUGUUAGCUGUUAGUAGUACUACUACUGCUACUUAAUUACAUUCCUUAUAUUUAUACAUUAAUUAUCCUGGAUUUUAUUUUUUAGUAUUUUAUAUGCAUUAUGGAGUGAAUGUAAAUUUUAAACAAGCUGUACUUUCCCAGAUACUUAAAACUGUUUUAAAAAUUAGUAAAUAGGGAGUUCCCAUUGUGGCUCAGCAAGUUACGAACCUGACUAGUAUCCAUGAGGAUGUGGUUUCAAUCCCCCCACUCAGUGGGUUAAGGAUGUUGCUGUGAGCUGCGGUGUAGGUCAUGGACGUAGCCUGGAUCCCACAUUUCUGUGGCUGUGGCAUAGGUUGGCAGCUGCAGCUUGGAUUCAAUCCCUGGCUUGGGAACUUCUGUAUGCCACAGGUGUGGCCCUAAAAAGCAAAGAAGCAAAAAAAGAAAAAAAGAAAAAA
rnacentral:lncRNA from 1 species